AAGUCGUAACAAGGUAUCCGUAGGUGAACCUGCGGAUGGAUCAUUUCUGAAACAAAAAACGCUCGGUUCCGAUCUUUUCGGUUCAGGGCGAUCCAUCCCUCUUUUCGUUGGUUCCGCAUUUUGCGGAUUUUGGGUUUAGCACCCUUUUGUAUCAUAGCAGUCUUUUUCUUAUCAUGGGGAAUCGUCUUUGGGCUUUGGAGGAAUCUUCAAAAACACUGACGUGCAAACCAAAAAAAACACAAAAUUUAAAAACAACUUUUGGCAAUGGAUCUCUCGGCUCUC
rnacentral:misc_RNA from 1 species